GAUGAACGCUAGCGGCAGGCUUAAUACAUGCAAGUCGUGGGGCAGCAUGAGUAGCAAUACUUGAUGGCGACCGGCAAACGGGUGAGGAACACGUACACAACUUUCCUUCAAGCGGGGAAUAGCCCAGAGAAAUUUGGAUUAAUACCCAUAAUAUAUUUGAUAAGGCAUCUUAUUAAUAUUAAAGCUUCGGCACUUGAUGAUGGGUGUGCGGCUGAUUAGAUAGUUGGCGGGGUAACGGCCCACCAAGUCUACGAUCAGUAGCUGAUGUGAGAGCAUGAUCAGCCACACGGGCACUGAGACACGGGCCCGACUCCUACGGGAGGCAGCAGUAAGGAAUAUUGGACAAUGGACGAAAGUCUGAUCCAGCCAUGCCGCGUGAAGGA
rnacentral:rRNA from 1 species